AAAAGCAACAUGGCGACCACCAGGCGACUCGUGUCAAGGUUGGCGAUGGUGACAGGUGGCGGCAGCGGGAUUGGUCGCGCCGUGUGCCUGCGCUUGGCCUCCGAGGGCGCCUCGGUGGCGGUCGCUGACCUCGACGAGGCGUCGGCCAAUGAGACGCUGCGAAGCCUGCCAGGUGACCUCAGGGGUCAGGCCCACAUGGCGGCGGCGGCGGAUGUGGCGUCAAAGGAGAGCGUCAAGAACCUGCUUACAAGCAUCCAGGCUCGCUACUUCCAGCCGCCCUCGGUGUGCGUGAACGCAGCGGGCAUCACCCUGGACAACUUCCUGCUGGACAUGGAGGAGGAUGACUUUGACAGGGUGGUCCAGGUCAACCUGAAGGGCUCCUUUUUGGUCAUUCAGGCCGUCGCUCAGGCCCUGGUGGCCUGCGGAGCCUCCAAAGGAUCCAUCGUUACCGUGGGCAGCAUUGUGGGCAAAGUGGGAAACUUGGGGCAGGUCAAUUACGCCGCCUCAAAAGCCGGAGUGGAGGGUUUAACCAGGACGGCUGCCAAGGAGCUCAGUAGGUUUGGGAUCCGCUGUAACUGUGUGCUGCCGGGGUUUAUAUCAACGCCCAUGACGGACAAAGUGCCCGAGAGGGUGAUCGGCAAGUUCAGGGCGUACCCCGCCUCUCGACCCGAAGAUUGCUGGGAUAGGCUCCAGCAAGCCCGCGACCCGAGUGAGGAGAAGCGGUCCGGGAAAUGGAUGGAUGGAUGAUUUGCUUUGCCUACACUGCCACUCAGUGGCCGUUGGAAAGAAUGCAGUUUCGCCAAGUACAUUUUUUAAAAUCCCAAACAAAACGUGGUCAUUUAUUUCAAUGCAAAGUCAGAUAUCAAUCUGAUAUCAAUCUCAUGUUUUUAUUAAAUAAAUGCGCCGUAACGCUGCAUCUGGUUGUUGUUUUUCGUGUCAGAUGAAGUCUCUGAUACCACUGGGAAGGAUGGGCGAGGCAGCAGAAGUCGCUGACGUUUGCGCCUUCCUUGCCUCGGACGACGCCCGUUACGUCA